GACGAACGCUGGCGGCGUGCUUAACACAUGCAAGUCGAACGGAAAGGCCCUGCUUUUGUGGGGUGCUCGAGUGGCGAACGGGUGAGUAACACGUGAGUAACCUGCCCUUGACUUUGGGAUAACUUCAGGAAACUGGGGCUAAUACCGGAUAGGAGCUCCUGCUGCAUGGUGGGGGUUGGAAAGUUUCGGCGGUUGGGGAUGGACUCGCGGCUUAUCAGCUUGUUGGUGGGGUAGUGGCUUACCAAGGCUUUGACGGGUAGCCGGCCUGAGAGGGUGACCGGCGAGAUUGGGACUGAGGGACGGCCCAGACGCCUACGGGAGGCAGCAGUGGGGAAUAUGGCACAAUGGGCGGAAGCUGGAGGGAGCAACGCGGGGGGCGGGAGGACGGGCGUGGGGUGGGAAACCGCUGGCGCGUGUGACGAAGCGGGAGUGACGGUAAUGGGUAAAGAAGCACCGGCUAACUACGUG
rnacentral:rRNA from 1 species